ensembl:lncRNA
CAGAACUGUGAGCUGACUACAAGUCGAGGUAGGAAAAUAACAACUGGAAUUAAUCCUAGGAAAACUCAAGAAAGGCACUUCACUACAACUAGUGGCGAGGAGGACUAAAUACUAAAACUAAGGGCACAAACUCACGGUGGGUAAGACCCAGGCAAGAAAGGCUAAUUCUAAGAUUUCGCGACUCAAAACUACAGGCUCGCAAAUUACUUAGGCUACUAUGAUACAAACUAUUAUUUCAACUACUAAGGCUUUGAAACAAUAUGAAGCAACUCUAUAACUAUCAGAAACAGAUUUCAAAACAAUUCAAAUAGCUGAUGUUCGGACUGGGCUCUAACUGGAAACCUCUGGGUGCAUAUGAUCCAAGGCAAUUGCAGCGCCUGGUAGGUUAUGGUGAGAACACCAGGGGGUCAGGCCGGCUCUGGUGAGUGAAUCGCUGACGCUGAGGAACCAAGAGAGAGAAGCGACAGAGAACCCAGGUGAGUCCAAGCAGGAACAGGUGGCUCUGGAGCUAGGACGAAGGAGGACAACCAGAGUUACAGGCACAAGAAUCAGUAGUUUCAAAACAACUGUGGUACACAAGUGAACAGUUACAGGCUGUGUCACAAUCCAGCACUGGGAGGUGAGUGGUGUCUGGUUUUAUUGCAGUGUGUGAGGCUUAAUUGGCUGCAUUCCAUCUGCUCCUGAACCGGCUGAUGAUUGUGGUGAUGUAGAACACCUGCCGCUGCAAUUACUCCAUGGAAAACCUAAAAAGGAAGAAAGGGGAGGAGAGAGAGGGGGAGAGGGUGCUAUCUGGGCCUGGCAGCUACCAACCUGACACAAAGAGCACCAGUUCAGGUUGGUAGAGAGAGAAGAGUGGCCAGGAGAGGGAGAGGAGGAAGGAGAGGAAGACCAAGAGCUGUGGUCUCUGAUGAAAUUAGGGCCACAGUGAUUGACCAUGUGGUAAAUCAUGGACUCUCUUUUAGAGAGGCUGGUUCAAGGGUGCAGCCAAUCUUGCAGCAUUCGACAGUUGCAUCAAUCAUGAGAAUUUUCCGGUAGAACAACAGGAUGUGUAGGUUGCCACCUAAAGGGGGGGGGGAGGUCGAAUUUUCACGGAUGUCCAGGAAACAGCUGUCAUUGAUAUGGUCAUUGCAAACAAUGCCAUGAAGCUGAGGGAAAUUCGGAACAGAGUGCUGAAAGACAAUGCAGACUUUGCCAAUGUGAACACCGUCAGCACUACCACAAUUGCCAGAGUCCUUGAGAAGCAUAAAGUAAGGAUGAAGCAACAGUACAAAGUACCUUUCGAAAGAAAUGAUGAACGUGUCAAACAACUCCGUUAUCGGUAUGUUCAGAUGGUCAUGGAGAUGGAGGCCAGACCAACUCCACAUGAAUUUGUAUAUGUGGAUGAAGCAGGAUUCAACCUGGUAAAAGACGCAGAGGAAGAAAUGUCAUUGGGCAGCAGGCAACAGUUGAUGUACCAGGCCAGAGAAGCGCAAAUAUUAGGGUGAAGAUGAACCGGAUUGGAUGAAGACUGAAGACACCCGCGGAAUCUGCCUUAACCUAGACCAAUCAGAUAGAAGCACAUUUCCAUAUAUAAACCUCUGUAUAAUGAUACGUUAGCAUUCCCUCUUGUGACGGUUGCAGAAAUUCUCUGUAGACUAGACAAUUGCUGUUAGCUAGAUCAAGCGGGAAUCUGUAUGCAUACAUUCUGAUCAUUGAAUGCUACUAAAUAUUCUUA